GAUGAAGAACGUAGUGAAAUGCGAUAAGUAAUGUGAAUUGCAGAAUUCAGUGAAUCAUCGAAUCUUUGAACGCACAUUGCGCCCGCCAGUAUUCUGGCGGGCAUGCCUGUUCGAGCGUCAUUUCAACCAUCAAGCCCCAGGCUUGUGUUGGGGACCUGCGGCUGCCGCAGGCCCUGAAAACCAGUGGCGGGCUCGCUGUCACACCGGGCGUAGUAGAUUUUAUCUCGCUCAGGGCGUGCUGCGGGUUCCGGCCGUUAAAAAGCCUUUUUACCCAAGGUUGACCUCGGAUCAGGUAGGAAGACCCGCUGAACUUAAGCAUAUCAAUAAGCGGAGGA
rnacentral:misc_RNA from 1 species